CACGGAGUUAGCCGGUGCUUAUUCCUAGGGUACCGUCAGUCUCUUUAGAAAAAGAGGUUUCGUCCCCUAUAAAAGAAGUUUACAAUCCAGAGGACCUUCAUCCUUCACGCGGCAUGGCUGGUUCAGACUUGCGUCCAUUGACCAAUAUUCCUUACUGCUGCCUCCCGUAGGAGUCGGGCCCGUGUCUCAGUGCCCGUGUGACUGGUCGUGCUCUCACACCAGUUACUGAUCGCAGACUUGGUGGGCCGUUACCCCGCCAACUAUCUAAUCAGCCGCACGCUCAUCCAAAACCGCCGGAGCUAUACUAAUAAAGUGAUGCCACUUCAAUAGGUUACGGUGUAUUAAUCCUCCUUUCGGAGGGCUAUUCACCAGUUUUGGGUAGAUUGCGUACGUGUUCCGCACCCGUUUGCCGGUCGCCAGCCUCUGUAUUGCUACAGAGCUGCUGCCCCACGACUUGCAUGUAUUAAGCCUGCCGCUAGCGUUCAUCCUGAGCCAGGAUCAAACU
rnacentral:rRNA from 1 species